rnacentral:rRNA from 1 species
GUGGGGAAUAUUGGACAAUGGGCGCAAGCCUGAUCCAGCCAUGCCGCGUGAGUGAUGAAGGCCUUAGGGUUGUAAAGCUCUUUCAGUGGGGACGAUAAUGACGGUACCCACAGAAGAAGCCCCGGCUAACUUCGUGCCAGCAGCCGCGGUAAUACGAAGGGGGCUAGCGUUGUUCGGAUUUACUGGGCGUAAAGCGCACGUAGGCGGAUCGUUAAGUCGGGGGUGAAAUCCUGGAGCUCAACUCCAGAACUGCCUUCGAUACUGGCGAGCUUGAGUCCGGAAGAGGUGAGUGGAACUCCUAGUGUAGAGGUGGAAUUCGUAGAUAUUAGGAAGAACACCAGUGGCGAAGGCGGCUCACUGGUCCGGUACUGACGCUGAGGUGCGAAAGCGUGGGGAGCAAACAGGAUUAGAAACCCCUGUAGUCC